rnacentral:lncRNA from 1 species
CUUGGAGACAGUGCGAGGCCGAGGGGUAGUGGGCAGGGAACCAGUGUUAUCCAAGGAGCAGCCUGCGUUCCAGUAUAGCAGCCACGUCUCGCUGCAGGCUUCCAGUGGGCACAUGUGGGGCACGUUCCGCUUUGAAAGACCUGAUGGCUCCCACUUUGAUGUUCGGAUUCCUCCCUUCUCCCUGGAAAGCAAUAAAGAUGAGAAGACACCACCCUCAGGCCUUCACUGGUAGGCCAGCUGAGGCCCCAAGUGCCCAGGCUUGGUCACCGGGAAGAACAACUCUCAUCCCACAAUUGCUGCAGAACUCUUCUCUCCCCAUCAUGGGCCACAGUGGGUCUCUUAAUUUGAUUGUGGGGUUCUUUUUGUGGGGAGGGGUGGUAUAACUUUUCUUCAGAAGACCCAUGUGGGACACCUCCAAGGCUGGCCUCCUCAUAAGCCCUGCCUACACCAUGUUCCAGUAAACCUCUCCACCAAGGAACUGUGUUCAGCUGCCACAGGCCUGGAGGAGUUUCCUGGCCUGUCACGUGAGGUUUGAUCAGUAAACCAGUGCACGCUUG